UUUGGCCCAGACAGGACACUGUAGCUAGGAAAGCCACAACCGGAAGCAGGAAGCCCCAUCUUGCCCUGCCCCUAGGAAGUUACCUGUGACGCCAUCUUCCCGCCCCUGGGAAUUUACAUAUGGCGCCAAACCUAGGACCAAUGGGCUACCUGUGUAUCCCUAAUGCCCGCCUUAGGUUCCACCCCAAACCGAGGCUAUUUACAGGCCCCCACGCCGCGUGUCCGCCGGAGAGAUCGCCGGACGCCAGCGGUGGGUGUUGCCGGUCAUCUCUCUCCGUGUUCUCAGAAUAAAGGCCGCUUUUUAUUUUAUAUUUCUCAUCUUUUGUUAAUAUUUUUCAUCUUUUGGAAAUAACUCUAUCAUUUGUUGCCGUGACUCUAUCGGCAGGCAACUGACUGUUGGGCCACAUACCCAAAGUCUUCUAGCCGAUAACCAGAUAACAUCCUGGAUUAAUCCCGAGCUUUUUCCUCUCCCGAGACGUUCCUGUCGCCAGCCGCCUGCACUCCGCAUCGGCCAGACUGAUUUCAGAUACCUCUCUCAUCUCACAAGAACGGAAUCAGCUGUGGCAAGCAGUUCGAGAAAAAGCUGAUCACAGACAUGAGUUCUCAAACCAUUUAAUCAAGGUUAUUGGCCACCUGAUAAUUUUACCAGCCUUGUUUAUCAAUCAAAGCCUUCACCAAUCUCCCGUGUAACAACUAAGGUUAUAAAUUCCUUUUUGCUGGGAACCACUAGCUCUAUUUCAAGACAAGGGUUUUCUUCAAAGUUUUAUUUUAUUUGUCUUGGUUCAUACUACUGCAAAUAACAACUUUAAAAGUAAAUGUGUUCAGAAUUUGACAGUAUUAGAUCAGUUUUGAUUUAUUCAUAAGAUUGCUAAACCUUUACUGCAAAACGUUUCCAUUAAAGCCUUGUUUGGCAAACUAAAGCUUUGUUAAUUCUACGUGUCACCCUAUAAAAAAAAAGUGAUAUUCCUGCAUAUUUACUUAAUUCUACUAUAGUCCAAAUCCCAAACAAAAAGACAAAACUUGACCUUCAAACCUUAUAGAGAUCUUAAUAUGGUUUUUCAUAUUUUUAACACUUGUGACACUUGGAGUUCUGAGACAGGUAAACCUACACAAGGUGGAGCUGCCUGCCCCCUCCAUGGACCACGCUCAAAUGCAGCAGAAGAUACUGGACAAGAAAAUGCCCCAUCCUGGCAUUCUUUGAGACCUUACUCCAGGGCCGCUGGACUGUCCUAGCCACCAGAGAGUGGGUAAGCCAUCCUAAGUUCUAGCCCUCACAGGAAAUGUCGACACUGCCAGAUUCGUCACCGACAGAAAAUCGCUGCUGGAGGCUGAGGGGGUUCAGGGCAACAACAGCCCCCUUUAAGGUGUCCGUCUCGGAUUCCAAGUCGUACUAAAGUCUCAGGUAAGACAUUCUCUAUAUUUGUGGACAUAGAGGCCAUAUAUACAGAGUUCUUCCUGAGUAUUCAGGCUGCUAUAUUAAGUCCUCAAUCUCUAUGAUGGGGUAUUGAUGGUCAACCUAUGCCAUUUACAAACAGGGCCUAUUUUGUGCAGGUCCCAGUCUUCUCACUUGGUUUAUACUUUUUCAGGAUGCAUAAGAGCCUUUCUCAUACUUGCUAAAGUUCUGUUACAGCAAAUCAUUCCAAGGACAACAACCAGGUUGCAGCGACCCAUGUCUAAAUCAAAGUUGCUAGACUGCCAUCCUGGUUUCACAUCACUCAGGCUAAGAGGUGCCCUUCCAGCCCUAAAUCUGAUCAUUCUGAGUGGUCAUCUCAUCUCCUGUCGCCUACCUGUCUCUGUCUCACAAAGGCCUCGCAGCCACAGUUAACAGGCUAAGUCAUGUUUUGUUAUCCACCUUGGUUCCUAAUUUCUUACAUUCUAUUAAUGAUCAUUUUUACAGCAGGACUCUUUAACAGUAUUGCCUACAGACUCCAACAUCAUGCAUACCAGAGACAAGCCUCACCAAACUACUGUCUUAACUUUUAUGCUUUCAGAUGGGGGAGUAAUCACCUCUCAUAACUCCACUCCUCCUAACCCCACGUUUAAUUUUCAGAAUUCUGCCUUACCUUGGAACAUGUCUAAAUCAAAUGCAGCCUUCUACCUCACCUGGGUCCUUAAAUAUGACAGUGCCAUGUCUCCUCAUAACAUCUUGUCUCUUUGUUUUUCCAGUCUGACAUACGUGCAUUCACCAGUGAAGUUGUCCUGGCCAAAACACCUGGUACCAGCGUCUACCUGGGCAUCAACCUUCAUCCCGUCGACUCCCCUAGGCUCCAGUACAGCGCCCUUUGCCAGCAGGAAGUAGUUAAAGAGAGAAAUCUUCGCCCCUUUUCAUAAUAAUAACCAUAAGACGGGAUAUGAAAGGUUUGGCCCAGACAGGACACUGUAGCUAGGAAAGCCACAACCGGAAGCAGGAAGCCCCAUCUUGCCCUGCCCCUAGGAAGUUACCUGUGACGCCAUCUUCCCGCCCCUGGGAAUUUACAUAUGGCGCCAAACCUAGGACCAAUGGGCUACCUGUGUAUCCCUAAUGCCCGCCUUAGGUUCCACCCCAAACCGAGGCUAUUUACAGGCCCCCACGCCGCGUGUCCGCCGGAGAGAUCGCCGGACGCCAGCGGUGGGGGUUGCCGGUCAUCUCUCUCCGUGUUCUCAGAAUAAAGGCCGCUUUUUAUUUUA